rnacentral:lncRNA from 1 species
GCGGCGAGAGGUUUGAACCGUGGCGGAUUUCAGGGUUUCUCCCGGCGCCCGAGCCAGGCCUCGCCCCAGCGCAGUCUCUCAGGGAAAGCACUCACCUGCCAAAGCCUCUCUCCUGGCCCCGUUUUCUUGUGUGUGAUAAAGCUCUGCUCUCGGCUUCGCUCUCCGGCCUUUCGCUUUCACGCUCUGUCGCUCUCGUGCUGUGUGUCUGUCUCCCUCCCUCCCGCUGCUGGUUCCUGGCAGGGCUGUGGGGCCCCGGGAGCGAGAGCGAGGCCAACCCCCCAGCGGCUUCGCCCAGGCCCGGCUUGGUGCCUGCGGGCGGGUGCAGCCCUGUGCCGCCUGGGAGAAGGACCCGGCUUGUGGCAGGAUGGGGUGUGUGUGUGUGAGAUGCAGGGUCCCCCCUCACCCAAGCUGCCCCGGUCGUAUGGAGCAGGAAAGCCACACGGUCAACCAGGACAGACCCCUGUCCCCACUGUAGGGCUCCUGGCUGCGUUGCUCUGUCAGUGCCCCAUCCCGGCCGGGUUUGCCCCCAGCCCCAUGGCCCUCCGGCGCCUGCCACAGUGAGGUUGCCUCUGUGGGCCCGGAGGCUCAGACCCUGGGAAGUGAGAGCAUGGCUGGCUCUACACCGUCCUGCCCUGUGGGGUCAUUGAGAACAGUCAUCCCCCCUCCCCGCCCCCCGCAUGUAGGGUGUGGCCUUUCUCAUCCUCGCCCUCCAGCGUGUGUGUGAGAGACAGACAGACCCUCCGGAAAAGGCAAGGAGGGGGGCGAUGCAGGAACCCCUCUGUCUGCUCCGACGUGGCUCGGGGUCUUUCUCCCCUUCGCUUGCCCGGCGGCUUGCGCUAGUUCGCUCUCUCUUUAGCUCCGGCCCGUUCGCCCCCCCCGACUCGCUUGUUUCUUUCGCUCACCCAGCUGCAGGCGCUCGCUCGCUGAGCCCUGCUCUCUCCUGGCUUCUCGUCCCAGCACUGGCCACAUAACCUCGCCCCCUGGCACGCCCCUCUGCUCCAGUCCCUCUCCCACGCCGGCUCGCUUGCUCCGACACGCACGUUUCUUUGCUCGCGCCUUUGCUUGUCCAGCCUGUCUCUUGCUCGCUUGGCUCUGCCCUCUCCCCCCCGGCCUUUGCUCCCCCUGCCGGUCUGUCUCGUUUCUGGCCCCACCGGCGCUUACAUCGGCCUGUCAUGUCACUCGGGGUGAUGUAGCCCGGCCUUGGUCUCGCUUCCUCUCCCCUGCACUUGCCGGGAUGCUUAGAUGCUCUCUCCUGCCACAUUCCCGCUCUCUCCCCUGCUCCGCCUUUUACUUCCC